UUUUCUUGGGAAUGCCGGGCUGCUUCUCCCACGAAAAGGGUACGCCGCCGCGGGGAUACCGGAGAGGAGUUGCGGGUGCGGAGGGGAUAUCUUCGUCGGAGGAGGAGGAGAAGAAGGAAGGCGAGCCAGUGCCGCCGGAGCGGGAUUUGGGCAAAACGGCGUCGUAGAAGGUGAUUUGCUUGGGAGACGACGUCGUAGAGGAGGAAGAAGACAUUGUGGGUUUUUGAGAAGGGAAGAGAGAAGGGAAGAAAGAUGAGAGCUUUGUUGUGGUUGGUUUCUUCUUCUUGUGGGGGAAGAAUAAUUUCUUGGUUUCU
rnacentral:lncRNA from 1 species